rnacentral:rRNA from 1 species
AACGAACGCUGGCGGCAGGCCUAACACAUGCAAGUCGAACGCCGUAGCAAUACGGAGUGGCAGACGGGUGAGUAACACGUGGGAACGUACCCUUCGGUUCGGAAUAACUCAGGGAAACUUGAGCUAAUACCGGAUACGUCCGAGAGGAGAAAGAUUUAUCGCCGAGGGAUCGGCCCGCGUCUGAUUAGCUUGUUGGUGAGGUAACGGCUCACCAAGGCGACGAUCAGUAGCUGGUCUGAGAGGAUGAUCAGCCACAUUGGGACUGAGACACGGCCCAAACUCCUACGGGGAGGCAGCAGGUGGGGAAUAUUGGACAAUGGGCGCAAGCCUGAUCCAGCCAUGCCGCGUGAGUGAUGAAGGCCCUAGGGUU